GAUGAACGCUGGCGGCGUGCCUAAUACAUGCAAGUCGAGCGAACAGACGAGGAGCUUGCUCCUCUGACGUUAUCGGCGGACGGGUGAGUAACACGUGGAUAACCUACCUAUAAGACUGGGAUAACUUCGGGAAACCGGAGCUAAUACCGGAUAAUAUAUUGAACCGCAUGGUUCAAUAGUGAAAGACGGUUUUGCUGUCACUUAUAGAUGGAUCCGCGCCGCAUUAGCUAGUUGGUAAGGUAACGGCUUACCAAGGCGACGAUGCGUAGCCGACCUGAGAGGGUGAUCGGCCACACUGGAACUGAGACACGGUCCAGACUCCUACGGGAGGAAGCAGUAGGGAAUCUUCCGCAAUGGGCGAAAGCCUGACGGAGCAACGCCGCGUGAGUGAUGAAGGUCUUCGGAUCGUAAAACUCUGUUAUUAGGGAAGAACAAAUGUGUAAGUAACUAUGCACGUCUUGACGGUACCUAAUCAGAAAGCCACGGCUAACUACGUG
rnacentral:rRNA from 1 species